GCCCCCUACCCGCCUUCGUUUGGUUGUCAUUGGAGGUUUCCAAGAACAUGUUCACUUGGGUAGGACUUACUCUUUGUCACUCACUUUUCUUAUCAUUAUACCACACCCCCUUUUUUAAACCUGGUUAGAGUAAUUGAGCCUCUGUGAAGUGGAACUUUCUUAGGGAACUCAAUCAAACUCUACGAAACGUAUGUGAUCAGAAAAGUAGAACAACUCAAAGAAUGGACACUAAAACACCCCCAGACAUCAGCUAGAUGUCACUUACAGGUCAUCAUUUAUUUUUAAUUUUUUUUGACUCAAGUGGAGGGUUCUGAGUCAUGUAAAAGACAAAAAUGGAUGAACAAGAAAUAGGCAGCCAAGUGAGAGAGGUUGUAGUGCUGCCUGGGUAGGUAUUCAUCAUCAUUAAGAAAAGGCCUGUUUACAAAUACCACCCCCCCCCCCCCCCCCACACACACACACACACACACACACACACACACACACACACAGGCCACACUUACACUGCUCAGACACUCAGUGCCCACACUUACACUUUGAGCUUUUAGCGGUGAGCAGCGGCAACAUUUUUUGAGGUAGUGAACUCAAGGGAGGCAAAGAAAGAUGGAGUUUGGAGAAAGUGUCCUCUGUGGAGGGGCUGAGCUGGAACUUGACCCCGACAUCGUCAGCGAAGAGGCAGGCAAACUCUACUCAGAACUCCAGACGGUGGUGGAGACCCACGGCUCGGGCGUGGUGGAGUCUCUGGUGCCGGUGAUGGUGUGGGUGCUCGAAGGCCUGGCCAGCUGCCGGGCUCAGCUGCGAGAGAGGGAGGAAGAGGCAGAGCGAGAGAAGAUGGAGAGAGAGGAGCUGAUGGAGAGAUACCAGAGUGAGAGAACUCUCAGGAGGGAGAGCCAGGAGGUCAGAGGUUAUCAUCACAGAGACAUUACAGAGACAUCAAUUCAAUUCAAUUCAAUUCAGUUGUACCGGUAUUUAUAUAGCACCAAAACAAUAGAAUUGUCUCAAGGCGCUUUACAGAGCCUAGUCCCUGGACAUUACAGUGACGUUACAGUGAUCUUACAGAGACAUUACAGUGAUGAAGACAAAAAACUGCAUGCAGACAUAACCUCCUUGGCAGUGGUAAUCAUUCAAGAGGGUGUCAAUAAAACCCUGGAUCAGUUUGAAGUAAAAUGACACCACACUCACCCUUUUAUUGCCUACAAAGGACAUGAUAGAAAUAGAUAAGCAAUUGGUGUCUUAGAUAAAAUAGAUAAACUAUAUAAAGUAGUAUAUAAGAUGGUCUUAUAGCUAGUAAAUUGCAAUCAGAAGUGCUAUUUUUUUCUGUUUGUGCAUUUAGUGGUUAUUAUUAUUAUUAUUAUUAUUAAUAAUAACGACAGAAGAGAUUAUAAAAGAAGUAUGCUACAUACUGUGCUAAGUAUUCUUCAAGUAUUCUGACAUAUGUGAGGAAUAAAAUAGCUGCAAGAUCUGUGAUUUGUAAAGUA
rnacentral:lncRNA from 1 species